GCUUACGGCCACACCACGCAGGGCACGCCCGAUCUCGUCUGAUCUCGAAGGGUCAAUCUGCAUUGGGCCUGGUUAGUACUUGGACGGAAGACCACCUGGGAAUACCAGGUGCUGUGAGCC
rnacentral:rRNA from 1 species